rnacentral:rRNA from 1 species
AUACGUAGGGGGCGAGCGUUGUCCGGAAUGAUUGGGCGUAAAGGGCGCGUAGGCGGCGCGGUAAGUCUGGAGUGAAAGUCCUGCUUUCAAGGUGGGAAUUGCUUUGGAUACUGCCGCGCUUGAGUGCAGGAGAGGUUAUCGGAAUUCCCGGUGUAGCGGUGAAAUGCGUAGAGAUCGGGAGGAACACCAGUGGCGAAGGCGGGUAACUGGACUGCAACUGACGCUGAGGCGCGAAAGUGUGGGGAGCAAACAGGAUUAGAUACCCUGGUAGUCCACACUGUAAACGAUGAAUGCUAGGUGUAGGGGGUAUCGACCCCUUCUGUGCCGCAGUCAACACAAUAAGCAUUCCGCCUGGGGUGUACGGCCGCAAGGUUGAAACUCAAAGGAAUUGACGGGG